rnacentral:rRNA from 1 species
UACGAGUGCCCCAAGCGUUAUCCGGAAUCACUGGGCGUAAAGCGUGUGUAGGCGGUUUUGUUAGUCUCUCGUUAAAUUCUUCGGCUUAACCGGGGCAUGCGGGAGAAACGGCAUAACUUGAAGGUGCAAGGGGUUUAUGGAACUCAUGGAGUAGGGGUGAAAUCCGUUGAUAUCAUGGGGAACACCAAAAGCGAAGGCAAUUCACUGGCGCACUCCUGACACUGAGACACGAAAGCGUAGGUAGCGAAUGGG